GGAGGUGGCUGGAAGGUCGCCGGUGAACACGAAUCGUUCACGGGAGGAAAGUCCGGGCUCCACAGGACAGGGAGGUCGCCAACAGCGACCCGGGGAAACCCGAGGGAAAGCGCAACAGAAAAGACACCGCCGAUGGCCGGCCCUUCCGGGUCGGCACAGGCAAGGGUGAAAUCGUGGGGUAAGAGCCCACGCGCGACAGCCGGGUGACCGGCGGCGUGGCAAGCCCCUCCCGGAGCAAGCUCGAAUAGGGACACCGUCGAGAGUGGUCCGCUCGAUCGUCGCGGCUCCGGCCGUGGCACGGUGUCCGGGUGAGAGCGCUCGAGCCGGCCAGCAAUGGUCGGCCUAGAGGAAUGACCUUCGCCGGCGCCGGGGCAACCCGGCGUCGGAACAGAACCCGGCUUACAGGCCACUCCGGGA
rnacentral:RNase_P_RNA from 1 species